AAUGGGAUUAGAUACCCCAGUAGUCACGGACGGGUGAGUAACGCGUGAUAAUGGGAUUAGAUACCCCAGUAGUCACGGACGGGUGAGUAACGCGUGAAUGGGAUUAGAUACCCCAGUAGUCAAGGGCGAAUUCGCGGCCGCUAAAUUCAAUUCGCCCUAUAGUGAGUCGUAUUAAGAGGAAAGAUUUAUCGGGCAUGGAUGAGCCCCCUCUUGAUUACUUAUUCGGUGGGGAAAAGGCCUACCAGGGCAACAAUCCAUAGCUGGUCUGAAAGGAUGAUCACCCCCACUGGAUCUGAUACACGGCCCAUACUCCUACAGGAGGCAGCAGUGGGGAAUAUUGGACAAUGGGCGCAAGCCUGAUCCAGCCAUGCCGCGUGAGUGAUGAAGGCCCUAGGGUUGUAAAGCUCUUUCGCCGAUGAAGAUAAUGACGGUAGUCGGAGAAGAAGCCCCGGCUAACUUCGUGCCAGCAGCCGCGGUAAUACGAAGGGGGCUAGCGUUGUUCGGAAUUACUGGGCGUAAAGCGCGCGUAGGCGGACAUUUAAGUCAGGGGUGAAAUCCCGGGGCUCACCCCGGAACUGCCUUUGAUACUGGGUGUCUAGAGUCGGAAGAGGUGAGUGGAUUGCGAGUGAGAGGUGAAUUCGUAGAUUUCGCAGGACACCAGUGGGAAGGCGGUCACUGUUCGGA
rnacentral:rRNA from 2 species